AUUGAUCACCGGUUACUGAGGU
rnacentral:miRNA from 1 species